rnacentral:rRNA from 1 species
AACGAACGCUGGCGGCAUGCCUAACACAUGCAAGUCGAACGAGACCUUCGGGUCUAGUUGCGCACGGUUGCGUAACGCGUGGGAACCUGCCCUUAGGUUCGCAAUAACUCCCCGAAAGGUGUGCUAAUACCGGGUAGGCGCUCCUGCUGCAUGGUGGGGGGUGGAAAGUUUCGGCGGGUGGGGAUGGACUCGCGGCUUAUCAGCUUGUUGGUGGGGUAGUGGCUUACCAAGGCUUUGACGGGUAGCCGGCCUGAGAGGGUGACCGGCCACAUUGGGACUGAGAUACGGCCCAGACUCCUACGGGAGGCAGCAGUGGGGAAUAUUGCACAAUGGGCGGAAGCCUGAUGCAGCAACGCCGCGUGCGGGAUGACGGCCUUCGGGUUGUAAACCGCUUUCGCCUGUGACGAAGCGUGAGUGACGGUAAUGGGUAAAGAAGCACCGGCUAACUACGUG